CACAAGCUGUUUUGUGCGUAAGCAUAAUAAAGUUUUAACCUUUACGCUAUAAUAGGGAGUUUUACAUCAAAGCUGAAUUGACAUACCUCUGGUUAUAUACCAAAGAGGGCAUGCAUGAAGACUUUUGCGAACACCCACUUUGAGAAGUGGUGGUUUAAAACUUUCUUAUCAAUUACUUACGGCAAAUACGGCUGAAAC
rnacentral:other from 1 species